CACUUACAAAAAAUAUUUAUUGAUAAUAAAGAAAAUUAAAAGAUUCGAUUCUCAAGUUUCUUUUCACUGUCAUCGAGUACAUAUUGUUUAUAUUACUUUUAUAAAAUUUCACACAUUGUUGAACACACUAAUCCAUUCCUGGAGUUACAUGGGGGGGGGGGAUUCUUACACUUUUCUGCAAAAAUAGGUGGGUUUCACUGCAAUUGAAACUUGAAAGAUAUGUUUUAACUCAUUAUGAUGCGAAUUUGUUUGCGCGAAUAGUAAAAAAGUAGGAACUGAUCCAAUUUUUUUUUUCGUGGCAAAUUUUUUCGAUUGCCAAGAUUUGUUUUUCGCUUUGCA